rnacentral:rRNA from 1 species
GGGAAUAUUGGACAAUGGGCGCAAGCCUGAUCCAGCCAUGCCGCGUGAGUGAUGAAGGCCUUAGGGUUGUAAAGCUCUUUUGUCCGGGACGAUAAUGACGGUACCGGAAGAAUAAGCCCCGGCUAACUUCGUGCCAGCAGCCGCGGUAAUACGAAGGGGGCUAGCGUUGCUCGGAAUCACUGGGCGUAAAGGGCGCGUAGGCGGCCAUUCAAGUCGGGGGUGAAAGCCUGUGGCUCAACCACAGAAUUGCCUUCGAUACUGUUUGGCUUGAGUUUGGUAGAGGUUGGUGGAACUGCGAGUGUAGAGGUGAAAUUCGUAGAUAUUCGCAAGAACACCAGUGGCGAAGGCGGCCAACUGGACCAACACUGACGCUGAGGCGCGAAAGCGUGGGGAGCAAACAGG